rnacentral:rRNA from 1 species
GCGGCGAGUGAAGCGGCAAGAGCUCAGAUUUGAAAUCGUGCUUUGCGGCACGAGUUGUAGAUUGCAGGUUGGAGUCUGUGUGGAAGGCGGUGUCCAAGUCCCUUGGAACAGGGCGCCCAGGAGGGUGAGAGCCCCGUGGGAUGCCGGCGGAAGCAGUGAGGCCCUUCUGACGAGUCGAGUUGUUUGGGAAUGCAGCUCCAAGCGGGUGGUAAAUUCCAUCUAAGGCUAAAUACUGGCGAGAGACCGAUAGCGAACAAGUACUGUGAAGGAAAGAUGAAAAGCACUUUGAAAAGAGAGUGAAACAGCACGUGAAAUUGUUGAAAGGGAAGGGUAUUGCGCCCGACAUGGGGAUUGCGCACCGCUGCCUCUCGUGGGCGGCGCUCUGGGCUUUCCUGGGCCA